ensembl:lncRNA
GUUCACUUCCUGCAGAGCCUCGACAAAGCAGCGGAGAAAUGAAGAAGAAAUAAAUCAGCGAUUACAGACGGCCAUGUUUAACAAUUCCAUGGGUGCAAAUUUGGGGCAAGCAGCGUCAGGCACUAAAGACUCUCCGGUGGCCUCACAACCUACCACUGGGCCCCGGGGUCAAAUGCCUUCGACAACUGACGACUCUCUCCAUCAGGAGGAUCAACAACACAACAGAGCUGAGCAACCAGGUCAACCACAUUUCAUCAGUGGACAUCUUUUUAAUCAGAUACCACAGAGGUCACAACUCAUCACAGGUAUGUCCUUCACUUUCACAUUUUGAGAUGACAGCUUCUUUCUAUUAAGCAAGAGAUCAAGUACAGAAUAGGCUACACUGUCAGUUACACACGUUGUCAAUUCAACAUGUAUAUCUGAAGGGGCUAUUGGUAGAUGUGGUCUGAGGUGUGGCAUAAGCAGCAUAAAAGAGCUUUUGUUGUAUUUCAGUAGGUUUCAGUCUCAGGCACUCUGCAAACAGAAGUACUCAAACAGUUUAAU